GGAAAUAUCCAUGUUGGGAUGUCACCUCAUCGAUCGCUAGGGUUGAUUCUGCUGCUCCGGCUGGCUAGGUGGGUGUCCCCUUCCUUCCUCAAGGCUCCAUAGCUGCAGGCCGGGUCAGAGGACGACCUUCCUUGGAUAGAGGAGGGCCGGACAAGGGUAUAGGAUUAGCUGCCGUUCCCUGCUGGCACCUCCAAACACGCUCUCGGACAUGUCCAUACUGAAUGACUCUUCUCCCCCAGCUAGUGGCCUGAGGAGGUAGCUCAGUUGGUAGAGUCCUUGCAUGUGUGAGGCCCUAGAGUCUGUCUCUAGAA
rnacentral:snRNA from 1 species